GGAGCGGGGAGGAGUUCCCUCACUGGGGUGGGAUCCUUGCCCGGAAGGGAUUCCCAGGAGGCUGCUGCCACCAUCCACUUUAUUAUUUUGAUGUGGGGAAACACGCUCCCCAUAUCCGGUGCCUGGGGGUGGGGGAUUAAGGGGCCAAACCCUCCCCAAAGGGCUGAGCAGUCCUCGGCCUCCAAAGGCAGGUGCCGAAGGCAGACCCAGAGCAGCCAGGAUUUCUUUUCGGAUUCCAAGGAAAAGCGGUGCAGCAAGAACUUUUCACCAAAGAGAUGACCAGAGAGAGGUCUCAGUAACCUGGCAAUGCAGAUCCCCAGCGAUCCAUACAGAAGAGCCACUUCCCUCCGGAGGCCUUGCACGGAUGUCCUGCUCCUUCUUCCUCACAGCCUGCGGCCUUCUUCCCAGCUCCCCAGCAGCUCUCGGCCUGCUUCUUCCUCGGGGUCCUCCUCCUCCUCCUCCUGGGACAGACUCACCAGGAGACCAGAGCUUCUGCUGGGGGUGGAGUCAGGAAUCCCGCCCGCUCCUCUGAGCUGGUCCCUUUGAUUUGGCUCUAAGCGAGGCCUAGUCCUCCCUCCAGUCCUUACACUGUAAUGCUACAUUGUGCGUUAUCACCUCUUCAGGAUGACUAGUCCUCAUUGUCCUAGAUGUCACUGACUGCAGAUGCCUCCCUAGCUGAGCAAUUAGCUGGCCAGCAAGAUUCCUGGGAAGAGGCAAAGGGUGCCCUAACAGCUCAUCCAGAGAGAGGAGGGGGGUUUCGUUUGGUUGUGUAGCACCAGCCUUUCCAAUCACACAGUCACAAUUGUUGGAGAUGGAGUUCCAGUGUCACCCCAGCUAACUUGGCAAAGCGGCGCCUUUUAACAUGAAAAUGUAUGGAGGCUAGAAAAGUGAGGUUCCCUUGACAUUUGCAUGAGUGGGAAAGGCAGAAACAAGAGUGGGAAAGGCAGAAACAAAAGGCAGAAACUGGACAGACACUACCCAAUCAAUCAGGGCGUCCAGAAGGAAGGGCACGGCCUGCUCCCCACCCGUUAAAAUGUUGAAAAUUGAUCUUUAUGGAAGGAGCGGAGGCAGCAGUGCCCAGGCUGACGCCUUGCUUGCACAUGGUCCAAGCGAUGUGCUUGCAUGGUGGCCCGUUUGAAGAACUACCCCAAGAGAGAGAAAAUAAGAUUCCAAGAGCAGAAUUACAUUAUCAAUUGAUUUAUUUUAUUUAACGUAUUUAUGUACCACCCAAAACUUAUGUCUCUGGGAGGCUUACAAUAAACAGUACACAUUAUAUAAAAAUAAAACAUUAAAAUAA